ACUGCACUCCUGCGGCUGGAUUGAUCUCUUCCUGUGGCCUCCGCGUGAGCGAUUGAGGGAUUGGCACUAUGAAAAUGGACGAAAAUAAAGAUCACAGAGGGAGCCAAGCAGGCACCAAAGGAAAGAAAUCAGACUCAAUAGAUACAUCUUGAACGGCCUUAGGCGGGAGCUCGAUGUCAUGUCCUAGCACGGGGUCUGAUAGCUGUACGCCUCUUAAGGGAAGAGAGGCCUCACUGAGCUGACGUGCUUGAUGAAAAAGGGCUUUCAAGGAUUAGCAUGAAAUAAAUCUUUUCGAAUCUC